GAACUCCAUGUGUAGCGGUGAAAUGCGUAGAUAUAUGGAAGAAUACCGGUGGCGAAGGCGGCCAACCAGCACAAUACUGACGCUUAGUCACGAAAGCGUAGGUAGCAAAUAGGAUUAGAUACCCUAGUAGUCUACGCUGUAAACGAUGAUUACUAAAUGUUCCUUACUGGAGCAAUGAAGCUAACGCAUUAAGUAAUCCGCCUGGGAAGUACGAUCGCAAGAUUGAAACUUAAAGGAAUUGACGGGGUCCCGCACAAGCAGUGGAGCAUGUGGUUUAAUUCGACGCUACGCGAAGAACCUUACCAGGACUUGACAUAGAGGUAAAAGUUCUAGAAAUAGAAUCAUAGUUAUAGCUCAUACAGGUGGUGCAUGGUUGUCGUCAGCUCGUGUCGUGAGAUGUUGGGUUAAGUCCCGCAACGAGCGCAACCCUUGUCCUUAGUUACUAACAUUUAGUUGAGAACUCUAAGGAGACUGCCGAUGUUAAAUCGGAGGAAGGUGGGGAUGACGUCAAAUCAUCAUGCCCUUUAUGUCCUGGGCGACACACGUGCUACAAUGACCAUUACAAAGAGUUGCAAAACCGCGAGGUUAAGCAAAUCUCAUAAAGAUGGCCUCAGUUCGGAUCGAAGUCUGCAACUCGACUUCGUGAAGCUGGAAUUGCUAGUAAUCGCAGAUCAGACAUGCUGCGGUGAAUACGUUCUCGGGGCUUGUACACACUGCCCGUCAAACCAUGAGAGUUGGUAAUACUUGAAGCCGUUAUCCUAAUCCGUAAGGAGGGAGACGUCUAAGGUAGGACUAAUGAUUGGGGUGAAGUCGUAANCAAGGUAACCCGAAAGGGCGAAUCGUAACNCGC
rnacentral:rRNA from 1 species